rnacentral:rRNA from 1 species
GGGGAAUUUUGGACAAUGGGCGCAAGCCUGAUCCAGCAAUGCCGCGUGCAGGAUGAAGGCCUUCGGGUUGUAAACUGCUUUUGUACGGAACGAAAAAGCUCUCUCUAAUCCAGGGGGUGAAUGACGGUACUGUAAGAAUAAGCACCGCCUUACUACGUGCCAGCAGCCGCGGUGAUACGUAGGGUGCAAGCGUUAAUAGGAAUUACUGGGCUAAAAGCGUGCGAAGGCGGUUUUGUAAGACAGAGGUGAAAUCCCCGGGCUCAAACUGGGAACUGCCUUUGUGACUGCAAAGCUGGAAUGCGGCAGAGUGCGAUGGAAUUCCGCGUGUCGCAGUGAAAUGCGUAGAUAUGCGGAGAAACACUGAUGGCGAAGGCAAUCCCCUGGGCCUGCACUGACG